UUUGGCCUCAUUUUCACGUAACACAAACCCUAGCCCCCUCUCUUCUCUCCCACUCCUCCUCUGCCGCUGCCCCCGCCUUCUCCAUGGCGGCACCACCACCUGCCGCCGUCCAAACACUCCCAAAACUUCACCCAACCAUCCCUCUCUUCACCUUUUACCUGAAUCCAAACCCCAUAUCUCUCAAAUCCCUCUCAAUCCUCUCAAGUCUACUCCAAAACCGAACUCUAGCCGCCGCCUAUUUUCUCGAAUUAGACGAACUCUGGCCAUCCCUACACUUUAAUUCUUUCAUCACCGGAUAGAUCUCUUAAAGAUCUAUCAAUCCCCCUUUGGUUUCACGGCCGAACUCCGACGACCAAAAUUCCGGCGACCAUCACUUCCAUACCACCAUUACUACUUGAAAUUGCCUUCUUUUUGAGUCAUUAAGCUUGAGACAUUGUGCGCUCUUCAAUAAGUUGGCUAUUUUUUGUUAUAUCGAUUGGAGAUGGCACAACAUCCCAAGUUUGGUGGCUGCCCGUUUGUUAUUCCGGCAAGCCGAUUGAUUCUCCAAGACUCGUGUAUUCAGUAAUUCUCUUAAAGUGCUACAGUAAUUUUGAGUCAAGAAUGAAUGGAGACGAACCAAUUUGAGUUCUCUUCAGUUUGUUCUAAGCUUUUAAAGCAUUCUGUUUUUUUGUAAGGUUUUGUGUGUGAGCAUAUAUAAUAAAUAGUUGCUUUGUUAUUGUGACUCACUGUCACCUUUGUUUUUUUUUUUUUUUUUUUUUUUUUUUUUUUUUUUUUUUUUUUGUUUGUUUUUUGUAAAAAAUCGCCAACAAAACAGCAAUGUACUGAUAUAGGUUCAAAUGUUUAAGUUUCUGUCUCAA